rnacentral:ncRNA from 1 species
GCCCCUCCACUCCGCUUGGCUUCCUCCCCCUCGUCCGACUGGCGUGCGGAAGACCGCUUGCUCGGUGUGUCUAGGGGGCCUGAUUCCUCCUGAUCGAGGCUCAUCCCGUGGACAGUGUGAGGCCGGUAAUAGCCCCCUUCGCGCCAGGUUCUGGUCUUCUCAGAGGCGGGUUGUUUGGGAAUGCAGCCCAAAGCGGGUGGUAAACUCCAUCUAAGGCUAAAUACCGGCACGAGACCGAUAGUCGACAAGUACCUUAAGGGAAAGUUGAAAAUAACUUUGAAGAGAGUUCAAGAGGGCGUGAAACCAUUAAGAGGUAAAUGGGUGGGGUCCGCACUGUCCGCCCGGGGGAUUCAACCCGGCGGGGUAAGGCACGCCGGCUCGAUGCGGGAGGAUCCCCUUGCGGGACCUCUCCCCGGCUCGUCGGCUGGCCCCCGCCGGGCGCAUUUCCUCUGCGGCGGUGCGCCGCGACUGGCUCCAUACCAGCCAGGAAGGGACCAGGGGCGUGGAACUUAGUGUUCACUGCGCCUCUCUCCCCCCCUCUCUGGAGGGGGAGAGGGACAUGGCCCCCUCGCCCCCGGCGCAGCUGUCGACUGGGGCGGACUGUCCUAAGUGCGCCCCAACCGCACCGCACCGCCAGGGAGGGGACUGGCCCAUGUCAAAUGCGCAAGGGGUCUGCGGCGAUGUCGGCUACCCACCUGACCCGUCUUGAAACACGAACCAAGGAGUCUAACACGCAUGAAAGUCAGAGUCGGAAUCCGCUAAGGAGUGUGUAACAACUCACCUGUCAAAUCAACUAGCCCUGAAAAUGGAUGGCGCUGGAGCGUCGGGCCUAUACCCGGCCACCGCCGGCAACAAGAACCGCGAGGGCUAGGCCACGGUGAGUAGGAGGGCUGCCGCGGUGAGCACAGAAACCUGGGGCGCGAGCCCAGGUGGAGCCGCCGCAGGUGGCGAUCUUGGUGGUAGUAGGAAAUAUUCAAACGAGAGCUUUGAAGGCCGAAGUGGAGAAGGAUUCCAUGUGAACAGCAGUUGAACAUGGGUCAGUCGGUCCUAAGGGAUGGGUGAACGAUGUUCGGAAGUGCGGGGCGAUGGCCUCUGUCGCCCCCGGUCGAUCGAAAGGGAGUUGGGUUCAGAUCCCCAAACCUGGAGCGGCGGAGAUCAGUGCCGCGAGGCACCCAGUGAGGUGUCACAAACAAACCCGGAGAAGCUGGCGGGAGCCCCAGGGAGAGUUCUUUUUUCUUUGUGAAGGGCAGGGCGCCCUGGAAUGGGUUCGCCCCGAGAGGGCCCCUUGCCCUGGAAAGCGUCGCGGUUCCGGCGGCGUCCGGUGAGAUCUCGCUGGCCCUUGGAAAUCCGGGGGAGAAGGUGUAAAUCUUGUGCCAGGCCGUACCCAUAUCCGCAGCAGGUCUCCAAGGUGAACAGCAUGUUGGAUAAAGGGAGUUAAGGGAAGUCGGCAAGUCAGAUCUGUAACUUCGGGAUAAAGAUUGGCUCUAAGGGUUGGUUGGGU